UACGUAGGGAGCGAGCGUUGUUCGGAGUUACUGGGCGUAAAGGGCGCGUAGGCGGCCUGUUAAGUCGAACGUGAAAUCCCCGGGCUCAACCCGGGAACUGCGUCCGAUACUGGCAGGCUUGAAUCCGGGAGAGGGAUGCGGAAUUCCAGGUGUAGCGGUGAAAUGCGUAGAUAUCUGGAGGAACACCGGUGGCGAAGGCGGCAUCCUGGACCGGUAUUGACGCUGAGGCGCGAAAGCCAGGGGAGCAAACGGG
rnacentral:rRNA from 1 species